CUCAGGUGUCGCCCAAACCCCUGGUACUCCUCAAGGUCCUGGGGUUAAUGAACACAGAAAUAUAACUCCACUUGGUCAUGGGCAGUCUGGUGGAUGUCAGCUUUCUCGCCCAGAUCUCUUUGCUGAUCAGGGCAAGUAUCGUAGCCCUGCCGGCCAAAGUUUUCUGGCUCAUUCUAGUGGAAUUCCAAGUCGAUACAACCAAGGUCAAGCACCUUUUCAUCUUGGUGCAUCCAAUUUGCCAAGUGUUGAAUCCGGUGUAAGGCCACAGUUUGGUACUGGAGAUGUGCGUGGUGGAACAACAAAUUUACCACCACAUGCUUCUGAAUCCUACCCGCAUCCAAGGCCUGGUUACUUUAAUGGUCCCCAUGGUGUUGGAUCAGAUGAAGAAAGGUUCAAGCCUUUCCCCAUUCCUGGCCAACACAAUAUUGAACGAAGAGAGUUUGAAGGUGAUCUCAAGAGGUUCCCUGCGCCUUAUGCAGAUGCUGAGCCCAUUUCAAAAUAUGGGGGCCAUUCUACAGGUCCACAUAAUAGAGGUUCCCAUGAGUUAAAUUAUAGCAGUGGGUCAAAGUUGAAUCCUGCAGAUGGUGUUACCUCAAGAUUGUUUCCUCCCCCUUUUUCUUUAAAUGAUGUUGGAGAUAGACCAAUUGCUUUCCAUGAUGAUGCCAUGGUGAAAUCUGAUACUCAUCGCAGUGAUUAUCUUGGAAUAGGUUCAAGACAUGGGAUGCAUCACAUGGAUGGUCCAACUUCGCGAAGUCCUAUUGGUGAACAUGCUGAAAUGUAUUUGGGGAGAGCUGGUGUCCAUUCUGUUGGUAUUGCUAGUAAGUCAAGCGUGUAUGACUUUGAUGGAAGAGAUCCACGUCAUUUUGGUGACUCAUUUGGCAGUGCAUUCCGUGAUAGUAGAUUUUCUAAUUUGCCGAGCCAUUUUCAUAGAGGUGAGUUUGAGGGUCCUGGUAGCAUGCGAGUUGGUGAACAUCCAAGGGGUGAAUUCAUUGGUCAAGAUGACUUUACUGGGCAUUUUCGGAGGGGUGAUCGUUUGGGUCCUCAUAACAUGCCAAGACAUUUGCCAUUUGGGGAGCCUCUUGGUUUUGGUGCCCCUGCUGGUCAUGUGCGAGCUGCUGAACUUGGUGGUCGUCACAGUUUUGAAUCUUUCAAUAGAGGUAACAGAUCGGGUCACCCGCGGCUUGGUGAGCCUGGGUUUAGGAGCAGCUUUUCCUUUCCAGGGUUUCCUAAUGAUGGUGGACUAAUAACGGGAGAUAUUGGAUCCUUUGAUAAUCCGAAGAGAAGGAAGGCAAGCAUGGGGUGGUGUCGGAUAUGUAAAGUUGACUGUGAAACUGUUGAAGGGUUGGACAUGCAUUCUCAAACAAUGGAGCACCAGAGGAUGGCCGUGGAUAUGGUUAAAAGCAUCAAACAGAAUGCUAAAAAACAAAAAUUAACACCUAGUGAACAAUCCUCAAUUGAAGAUGGGAGCAAGUCAAGAAAUGCUAGCUUUGAGGGCCGUGGAAAUAAGCACUGAGCUGUAGGGGUUUGCUGCAACUCUAGUCUUGUGUCUCACUUGUGCACUUCUCAUCAAAAGAUGUUCCUGUGGCAUUAUUGCAUUUAGCAAUACUCAUCUCUCUAUGCCAUUUUCUAGUUGAGGUGGUUUAUGUUACUUUUGUCAUUUCAGGUUGCUGCCAUGUUAAUGGGGAUGGUUUUUGGAUCUGGAGUACUGUGGCAACAACAAAAGGCUGAAACUUCAGUGGAACAAUUUACCUGGUCGUCUUUGUAUGUGCUGUGGAGCAUGUGAAUGAAGAAUCUUGCUUGUUUGGGCAUUCUGUGGUGUGUCGUAUCAUUUGUGAUGUGGCCGGUGCAAAUUUAUCAUUGUUUUAUUCUGCUACCGGAAUUGAUUCAUUAGCAUGCCGGUGGAUAAAGUUAAGCGAAGGGGUGUGAAGAGGAAACUACAUAGUACAUACGGAGUACUUUCGCUAUGUUUCGAGUAAUAAGAAGUUGAGGUGUUAAGCAACCUGCUGCCCAAGGAGUUGCCAUUCUCCAUCACCUGAACUUGCUACAGCCGUGUCUCCCACAAUUUUCUCUUUUGCUAUCAAAAAUAAUAGUCAGUAGUCACUUAAUGCAGAUUUGAAUCUCCUCGAGGGACACUCAGAUCAAAAAAAUAAAAUAAAGAAAAAAUAGCGAUAUUUACCCUAAAGGGCCCCCUUUUUCUGUUGUAAUUGUAUUUUCAGUGACAAAAAACAAUGGCAGUGUAAUUUUCUGGCCUUGUUUAAUGUUACAUUACUCCAUUCAUGUUUUCCA